rnacentral:rRNA from 1 species
ACGAGACCCCUGCCUGCUAAAUAGUUGGGCGAAUGAAUGUUCAUUGGCUGCAGCUUCUUAGAGGGACGUGCGUUCUAUUAGACGCAGGAAGAUAGGGGCAAUAACAGGUCUGCGAUGCCCUUAGGUAAGUUAUUAUCUAUUCAUCAAGUUGAUAUGUGUACUGAUUUCUACCUUUCGUGACCAUGUUGAUUUCUAACCGCUUCGUUUCUCUACUUCUCCCUUUUGCAGAUGUCCUGGGCCGCACGCGCGUUACACUGAUGCACUCAACGAGUCUACCUUGGCCGAGAGGCCUGGGAAAUCUUGCUAACAUGCAUCGUGAUAGGGAUAGAUUAUUGCAAUUAUUAAUCUUGAACGGGGAAUUCCUAGUAAACGCAGAUCAUCAAUCUGCAUUGAUUACGUCCCUGCCCUUUGUACACACCGCCCGUCGCACCUACCGAUUGAAUGGUCCGGUGAAGCCUCGGGAUUGCGAUGAGUUUCCUUCAUUGGGAGUUCGUCGCGAGAACCUGUCUAAACC